GAAAUGCGAUAAGUAGUGUGAAUUGCAGAAUUCAGUGAAUCAUCGAAUCUUUGAACGCACAUUGCGCCCUUUGGUAUCCCUUGGGGCAUGCCUGUUCGAGCGUCAUCUAAACCCUCAAGCCCUGCUUGGUGUUGGGUGCCUGUCCCGCCCCCGUGCGUGGACUCACCUCAAAUCCAUUGGCGGCCCUCGUACCGGCCCCGAGCGCAGCAGAAACGCGGUCUCGUGGCCCGGCGGAGCGUGCCCCCAGAAGCAACAUUCACCGUUUUGACCUCGGAUCAGGUAGGGAUACCCGCUGAACUUAAGC
rnacentral:misc_RNA from 1 species